rnacentral:lncRNA from 1 species
GGCCAAUAUGUUCAAAUGUUCAUAGAUGACCAGCAUGGUCAAAUAAUGAUCACAGUGGUUGUAGAGGGUGCAACAGGUCAGCACCUCAGGAGUAAAUGUCAGUUGGCUUUUCAUAGACGAUCAUUCAGAGUUAGAGACAGCAGGUGCGGUAGAGAGAGGGAGAGUUGAAAACAGCAGGUCUGGGACAAGGUAGCACGUCCAGUGAACAGGUCAGGGUUCCAGCAGGUCUGGGACAGCAGGUCUGGGACAGGUAGCACGUCCGGUGAAUAGGUCAGGGUUCCAGCAGGUCUGGGACAGCAGGUCUGGGACAGGUAGCACGUCCGGUAAACAGGUCAGGGUUCCAGCAGGUCUGGGACAGCAGUUCUGGGACAGGUAGCACGUCCUGUGAACAGGUCAGGGUUCCAUAGCCGCAGGCAGAACAGUUGAAACUGGAGCAGCAGCAGGUGGACUGGAGACAGCAGGUGGACUGGGGACAGCAGGUGGACUGGGGACAGCAGGUGGACUGGGGACAGCAUUGGGACAGCAGGUGGACUGGGGACAGCAGGUGGACUGGGGACAGCAGGUGGACUGGAGACAGCAGGUGGACUGGGGACAGCAGGUGGACUGGAGACAGCAGGUGGACUGGGGACAGCAGGUGGACUGGAGACAGCAGGUGGACUGGGGACAGCAGGUGGACUGGAGACAGCAGGUGGACUGGGGACAGCAGGUGGACUGGGGACAGCAGGUGGACUGGGGACAGCAGGGAGUCCUCAGGCCAGAUAGUCCUGAGUCAUGGUCCUAGGGCACAGCUCCUCAGAGAGAGAGAGAGAGAGAGAGAGAGAGAGAACAGAGAGAGAUAGAGUUAGAGGGAGCAUAGUUAAAUUCACACAGGAUACUGGAUAAGACAGGAUAAACACUACAGAUAUAACAAACUGAUCCUAGCCACCAGACACAUAAACUACUGCAGCAUAAAUACAGCAGCCCUGCCAGCAUCUAUAGUCCUUAAAUACCAGUGGAUACCAGAGGAAUGGGUGGUCCCUGGUUGUACUGGUGGAUACCAGAGGACUGGGCUGUAAUACCAGUAGAUACCAGAGGAAUGGGUGGUCCCUGGUUGUACUGGUGGAUACCAG